rnacentral:rRNA from 1 species
AAACCAGCACCUCAAGUGGUCAGGAGGAUUAUUGGGCCUAAAGCAUCCGUAGCCUGCUUUGUAAGUUUCCGGAUAAAUCCAUUAGCUCAACUGAUGGGCCGCCGGAAAAACUGCAAAGCUAGGGAGUGGGAGAGGUAGACGGUACUCGGUAGGAAGGGGUAAAAUCCUUUGAUCUAUUGAUGACCACCAGUGGCGAAGGCGGUCUACCAGAACACGUUCGACGGUGAGGGAUGAAAGCUGGGGGAGCAAACAGGAUUAGAAACCCCAGUAGUCC